rnacentral:rRNA from 2 species
ACCCAUAAAUACACUUCGCAGUAAUGCAAGUCGUACGAUGAACCGGUUUCGGCCGGGGAUUAGUGGCGAACGGGUGAGUAACACGUGGGCAAUCUGCCCUGCACUCUGGGAUAAGCCCGGGAAACUGGGUCUAAUACCGGAUACGACACAUGAGGGCAUCCUCGUGUGUGGAAAGUUCCGGCGGUGCAGGAUGAGCCCGCGGCCUAUCAGCUUGUUGGUGGGGUAGUGGCCUACCAAGGCGACGACGGGUAGCCGGCCUGAGAGGGUGACCGGCCACACUGGGACUGAGACACGGCCCAGACUCCUACGGGAGGCAGCAGUGGGGAAUAUUGCACAAUGGGCGAAAGCCUGAUGCAGCGACGCCGCGUGAGGGAUGACGGCCUUCGGGUUGUAAACCUCUUUCAGCAGGGAAGAAGCGAAAGUGACGGUACCUGCAGAAGAAGCACCGGCUAACUACGUGCCAGCAGCCGCGGUAAUACGUAGGGUGCAAGCGUUGUCCGGAAUUAUUGGGCGUAAAGAGCUCGUAGGCGGCCUGUCGCGUCGAUUGUGAAAGCCCAGGGCUUAACCCUGGGUCUGCAGUCGAUACGGGCAGGCUAGAGUUCGGUAGGGGAGAUCGGAAUUCCUGGUGUAGCGGUGAAAUGCGCAGAUAUCAGGAGGAACACCGGUGGCGAAGGCGGAUCUCUGGGCCGAUACUGACGCUGAGGAGCGAAAGCGUGGGGAGCGAACAGGAUUAGAUACCCUGUUAGUUCCACGCCGU